rnacentral:rRNA from 13 species
GGGUUGUGAGGUUAAGCGAAUAAGCGUACACGGUGGAUGCCUAGGCAAUCAGAGGCGAUGAAGGACGUGCUAAUCUGCGAAAAGCGUCGGUAAGGUGAUAUGAACCGUUAUACCCGACGAUAUCCGAAUGGGGAAACCCAGUAUCCAAUGGAUACUAUCAUUAACUGAAUCCAUAGGUUAAUGAGGCGAACCGGGAGAACUGAAACAUCUCAGUACCCCGAGGAAAAGAAAUCAACCGAGAUUCCCCUAGUAGCGGCGAGCGAACGGGGAGCAGCCCAGAGUCUUAAUCAAUAGCAGUGUCAGGAGAACGGUCUGGAAAGUCCGGCAGUAAAGGGUGAUAGCCCCGUAUCUGAAGAUGCUGUUAUUGUGAACUCGACGAGUAGGGCGGGACACGUGUUAUCCUGUCUGAAUAUGGGGGGACCAUCCUCCAAGGCUAAAUACUCCUGAUUGACCGAUAGUGAACCAGUACCGUGAGGGAAAGGCGAAAAGAACCCCGGCGAGGGGAGUGAAAAAGAACCUGAAACCGUGUACGUACAAGCAGUAGGAGCCUCUUUAUGGGGUGACUGCGUACCUUUUGUAUAAUGGGUCAGCGACUUAUAUUCUGUAGCAAGGUUAACCGUAUAGGGGAGCCGUAGGGAAACCGAGUCUUAACUGGGCGAAUGAGUUGCAGGGUAUAGACCCGAAACCCGGUGAUCUAUCCAUGGGCAGGUUGAAGGUUGGGUAACACUAACUGGAGGACCGAACCGACUAAUGUUGAAAAAUUAGCGGAUGACUUGUGGAUGGGGGUGAAAGGCCAAUCAAACCGGGAGAUAGCUGGUUCUCCCCGAAAGCUAUUUAGGUAGCGCCUCGUGAAUUCAUCUUCGGGGGUAGAGCACUGUUUCGACUAGGGGGUCAUCCCGACUUACCAACUCGAUGCAAACUGCGAAUACCGAAGAAUGUUAUCACGGGAGACACACGGCGGGUGCUAACGUCCGUCGUGAAGAGGGAAACAACCCAGACCGCCAGCUAAGGUCCCAAAGUCAUGGUUAAGUGGGAAACGAAGUGGGAAGGCUCAGACAGCCAGGAUGUUGGCUUAGAAGCAGCCAUCAUUUAAAGAAAGCGUAAUAGCUCACUGGUCGAGUCGGCCCGCGCGGAAGAUGUAACGGGGCUAAACCAUGCACCGAAGCUGCGGCAGCGACACAUAGUGUUGUUGGGUAGGGGAGCGUUCUGUAAGCCUGCGAAGGUGUACUGUGAGGUAUGCUGGAGGUAUCAGAAGUGCGAAUGCUGACAUAAGUAACGAUAAUGCGGGUGAAAAACCCGCACGCCGGAAGACCAAGGGUUCCUGUCCAACGUUAAUCGGGGCAGGGUGAGUCGACCCCUAAGGCGAGGCUGAAAAGCGUAGUCGAUGGGAAACGGGUUAAUAUUCCCGUACUGGUGGUAACUGCGAUGGGGGAACGGAGAAGGCUAGGUUGUCCGGGCGACGGUCGUCCCGGUUCAAGCAGGUAGGCAGAGUGAUUAGGCAAAUCCGGUCACUUAAUGCUGAGAUGUGAUGACGAACCACCAAGGUGGUGAAGCAAUUGAUGCCCCGCUUCCAGGAAAAGCCUCUAAGCUUCAGGUUACCAACAAUCGUACCCCAAACCGACACAGGUGGUCAGGUAGAGAAUACUCAGGCGCUUGAGAGAACUCGGGUGAAGGAACUAGGCAAAAUGGUGCCGUAACUUCGGGAGAAGGCACGCUGGCGGUAGGUAAAGUCCCUUGCGGACGGCGCUGAAGCCAGUCGAAGAUACCAGCUGGCUGCAACUGUUUAUUAAAAACACAGCACUGUGCAAACACGAAAGUGGACGUAUACGGUGUGACGCCUGCCCGGUGCUGGAAGGUUAAUUGAUGGGGUCAGCCGUAAGGCGAAGCUCCUGAUCGAAGCCCCAGUAAACGGCGGCCGUAACUAUAACGGUCCUAAGGUAGCGAAAUUCCUUGUCGGGUAAGUUCCGACCUGCACGAAUGGCGUAAUGAUGGCCAGGCUGUCUCCACCCGAGACUCAGUGAAAUUGAACUCGCUGUGAAGAUGCAGUGUACCCGCGGCAAGACGGAAAGACCCCGUGAACCUUUACUAUAGCUUGACACUGAACAUUGAGCCUUGAUGUGUAGGAUAGGUGGGAGGCUUUGAAGUGUGGACGCCAGUCUGCAUGGAGCCAACCUUGAAAUACCACCCUUUAACGUUUGAUGUUCUAACCUAGGCCCAUAAACUGGGUCGGGGACCGUGUCUGGUGGGUAGUUUGACUGGGGCGGUCUCCUCCUAAAGAGUAACGGAGGAGCACGAAGGUUGGCUAAGCAUGGUCGGACAUCAUGCGGUUAGUGCAAAGGCAUAAGCCAGCUUGACUGCGAGAGUGACGGCUCGAGCAGGUACGAAAGUAGGUCUUAGUGAUCCGGUGGUUCUGAAUGGAAGGGCCAUCGCUCAACGGAUAAAAGGUACUCCGGGGAUAACAGGCUGAUACCGCCCAAGAGUUCAUAUCGACGGCGGUGUUUGGCACCUCGAUGUCGGCUCAUCACAUCCUGGGGCUGAAGUAGGUCCCAAGGGUAUGGCUGUUCGCCAUUUAAAGUGGUACGCGAGCUGGGUUUAGAACGUCGUGAGACAGUUCGGUCCCUAUCUGCCGUGGGCGUUGGAAGAUUGAGAGGGGUUGCUCCUAGUACGAGAGGACCGGAGUGAACGCACCACUGGUGUUCGGGUUGUCAUGCCAAUGGCAUUGCCCGGUAGCUAAGUGCGGAAGAGAUAACCGCUGAAAGCAUCUAAGCGGGAAACUUGCCUCGAGAUGAGUCUUCCCUGUC